UCCCUGAUAGCUCAGUUGGUAAAGAAUCUGCCUGCAAUGCAGGAGACCUCAGUUCAAUAUCUGGGUUGGGAAG
rfam:Ovis aries breed Texel chromosome 1, whole genome shotgun sequence.